AACUCCAUUCAGCCCUCCCCCUGCGCGCGAGAGCAGUUUUCAGUUCUGGCGCAAGGGUAGCUGUUAAAGCUGUAGGUAACUAUUAGAGCUGGUCUGAAUCUCUGUUGGAAAAACUAAGUUUACUCUGCCAAACGAAUUAGUACUGUACAUGGUGAUGGUCUAUUAGUUUCCAAGCCUCCUCAACUGCACAUAAGUGACGGCGCAUUGAUUGGUGCCGAAUCGGGCAAUCUAAGUUGAAAAUAUUUUCCGCCCAAUUUUCAAGAUUUUACAUUCAGACUCCCCAUCACACAUCGGACAACCCGAGUUUCAGAGAGGCCAAGCUGGAUUUUUCCAAAUAGGUCCACUGAUGUUUAUUACAACGCAACGUUUUUGGCUGCCCCUGUUGAGUGAGAAGACGAAGAAGGACAACAAUGAGCCUCGAGUAAAUGAAGAAAUCACUGCUCAGUUUGUCAGGCUUGCUGUUGAUGAUGGACAUUCAAUGGUUUUGAGGCUUUAAGCACUACAACGAGCUAGGAGGCUCAAGCUUGAUUUGGUGGAGGGAUGGUUGGCAAGUAAAAUCUACAGCCGAGCAAGCUGUUUCAAUGACUGGAAAAUGAACCUUUGCAUAUUGUUUUUCACUCUAACUUAAGAUAGUCCAUAUG